rnacentral:tRNA from 1 species
GAAAAAAUGGCAUUAAGACAAAUUUUUCUACAAUAGUAAUUGUAAUUCUAGUUAGUCUACAAAUAUCUUUAGUGAAAAUUUCUUAA